rnacentral:piRNA from 1 species
UAAAAAGUUUUCCUAAAGCUCAAAGAGGUC